UACGUAGGGUGCGAGCGUUAAUCGGAAUUACUGGGCGUAAAGCGUGCGCAGGCGGUCUGUUAAGACCGAUGUGAAAUCCCCGGGCUUAACCUGGGAACUGCGCUUGUAACUAGCGGGCUAGAGUGCGGCAGAGGGGGGUGGAAUUCCACGUGUAGCAGUGAAAUGCGUAGAUAUGUGGAGGAACACCGAUGGCGAAGGCAGCCCCUGGGU
rnacentral:rRNA from 1 species